rnacentral:rRNA from 1 species
UACGAAGGGGGCUAGCGUUGCUCGGAAUCACUGGGCGUAAAGCGCACGUAGGCGGAUUUCUAAGUCAGAUGUGAAAUCCCGGGGCUCAACCCCGGAACUGCAUCCGAUACUGCCAUGCUAGAGGAUUGGAGAGGUAGCUGGAAUUCUUGGUGUAGCAGUGAAAUGCGUAGAUAUCUGGAGGAAUACCGGUGGCGAAGGCGGCAUCCUGGACCGGCAUUGACGCUGAGGAGCGAAAGCCAGGGGAGCAAACGGG